GGCUGGUCCGAGUGCAGUGGUGUUUAUAAUUAAUGGAUCACAGCCACUUACAGAUUUCUUUGUUCCUUCUCCACUCCCACUGCUUCACUUGACUAGCCUUUA
rnacentral:Y_RNA from 1 species